UGAUUUAGUUUGUGUGCUAGCUAAGUUGUAAUUUGCUUCAAUCAUCAGGUUAACAGACCUUGCUCAUAUUAUGAACAUAACAGGUAUUUAGCUUUCUAUGCAUUUAGUUCACAAGAAUGUUUCCUUUUUCAAUUUCAAAAAGCAUGUGGUUUCGUUUCCACCUUUUUUCUUAGGGUUGAUUUAUUUCAGAGGUGAAUAUUACCAUUCCAAUUACCUGGUCUUGUUUAGUUCAAGAGUGUGCCUUUUCGGAUCUAAAUUUCAGCUUGCACUUAUUUCCUUGUCUUGCCUACUAUUCUCAAAUGUGGUUGGUGGUUUUUUCUUCUGAUGCCUUUGCUAUUGCAACCCUUUUGGGAAAUAAUGCUCCAUUUAAAGAAUCAUGUGAAGAACACCGAUGGUUAUAAGCUUUGAGAGAAUUAUUUUUCACAAACACAAUCAUGGUGUACAAGUAGAAGCUGAAGGCUAGAUAUUGCUCUCCUGCAAGUACUUGUACCAAGUUGAUGCCAAGUAGGAGAUGGCCUCAGCUAGGGAACCCAAGUAAGAAAAUGCUUUUUAUAACCAAGUAUACUAUGAACUGUGUAUAGUAUGAUUACCGUAAGCAAUUUUCUCUCUCAGGAAUAUGGAGUCGGUGGGAAUUUAAAAU
rnacentral:lncRNA from 1 species